ACCAGCGGGCGGUGAAAAACGCAUAAAAGGCCCUGAUCUAUGUCUGGCUGACAUAUAUUUCUCUAUCUAAUGUUUUAUGAUCACGCCGGUAAUAACGUACUGUACGAACAAAACAGGUACCAAAACAGGUUACCUAAGUGGACAUAUGUGGGCUCCGUUUCAGAAAAACAAGUAGGUGGAUAACGCUCUCCUUUCUACCCUUGUUUAUUUCCAUAAAACUGGGGGUGAAACGUUGCGGAAAUAAGAAGGAAACAAGAUUGAAGGGAGGCCGUACCCAGUAUGACCUAAGCACGGCCGUGU
rnacentral:sRNA from 1 species